UUUCGAUAUUUUAGUUUUUUAAAAUUUGUUUAUUUAUUCCUCUUUAUAUUUACACAUUUAUUUUAUUUUUAGUUUGAGGGACAUGUACAAAAUGGUGAAUAUAAUUAUAGAGCGAGAAAAAAAAAUCAAUGUGUCUUCUUUUACCCAAGAAUUUGGUAAGGUUGACAAGAACAUUUAAAACGUAUAUUCAUUUUGUGUCAUUUAAUGUCUUAUUACAUGAAGUUAUCAGACCAGAGUGUGGGACAUGGCAACAGCAGAUACACUCAACCAAAGAAAAUGGUAUAAAAUUAGUGAAAGACACUUGAAGAAAUUUGUCUUUGAGCUGAUGUGUGUGUCAAUGUAUGGGAAUGUGUAAUAACACCUACAUUUUUCAUUAUUCUGUAUUAUUUUAAUGAUAACAAUGAUUCUGAUGAGGACACCAAAAGGUACUUUAUGGUGAUAUGAAGCUCUCUUUGUAUAACAUUUGAAGACUGCAUGCAUGGUAGAGCAUCACUAAGACUGCUAAGGCUGACAUUUAAAAGCAUCAGAUUUGGAAAACGUUUUUAAUGUCAAAG